AUCGAAAGGGUUUGCCAUUCGAGAAACCCUGAAUUUACGAGGGAUGAGUUCACUGAUCUGUGAUGAAGAUUUAAUGCAAUCCUUAUUGUUUAAUUAUCUCGUUGAAAUAAAAUCAAGGAACUACUUUCUAUGCAUUGUACUCGUUGACGUCAGUAAUCGACACAAAAGAAUCGAUUACAGUUGAAAUAAUCAUGUCCUUAAGCCAAGAACGAAUAAGUACUAUUAUUACUUUGUAACCAAUUUGAAACAUAUAAUAGUAUUAAGAAUAGACUAAAUGCUUUGAAGUGUGUCGAAAAUUCGAUAUGAAUUUACAAGAUAAAUUCGGGGAUAACUUCGCGGGAAGAAAGCGGUGCAUUAUUCGAAUGGAAGAAAUAAGAACAGUGUUACAAAGAAGAAGAAAUGAUCGUGGAAAAAGAAGAAGAGGAAAUGGACGAGCUGGAUGGCGUGUUUCGACUGCGCACUAGCGUUAUCCGGCAAUUGCUGUUUUUUUACUCGCUUGAUUUCAAAUGAAGGGGUACCACCGGCGAACUACAUAGUGAUGAAAGAUAUUCGAGCAAUAGGCAUGUUUCCAUGCUGUCCCUUAGUCGGCGACACUCACGAGAAACCAUAGUUUGACUUUCAAAUCUAAGGGCGUCAUCUGCUUUUUCCUAAAUUUCAAUCAGUAU